AAAACAGUCUUUAAAUACUCCUGACGCACGACGUAGAGCUCUCUUUUCUCCGUGUUCCGUCCGAACGGAGGUUGUUGGUGUAACUGCAAACAAUGAAGAAAAACUCAGAACUGAGCCAUGAUGGCGCUGGAGCCCCUGACCACGCAGACGUCUGGCGCUGCGGCUGACAUCCGACCAGCUGGGUGCAUUCACCCUGGUUCAUCAGGAUGAGGUCACGGUUUUAGCAGAAAGGACUCAUGAACUUCAUUGGCACCUGGGAUGUGUCUUCCUGUGCGUCAUGGAGCCGGGAUGGUUGGGCGAGUGGAGGCCGGGUCCGGUAGGCGUCCCAUGAAGUCCUGUUCCUGGUAAGCUUCCUUGUCUGACUGCGUUAAUUAAAGGUUUUUAGCAGCACUGCGUGGUCUGCAGCCAGCUGUGUCGUCAGCCGGCUCGUUUAAAUACCAGUGCCAGAAAAAUUCAGCGUCUGGCAUCGUUGGUCUCCCUGCCGCUCGUGUUUGGAGUCCUGGUAUUGUGGCUGAAACAGAAAGUCUAGACUUUUCUCUUAAAUCAGAAA